rnacentral:rRNA from 1 species
UGGGGAAUAUUGGACAAUGGGGGGAACCCUGAUCCAGCCAUGCCUCGUGUGUGAAGAAGGCCUUAUGGUUGUAAAGCACUUUAAGCGAGGAGGAGGGUACUGGUAUUAAUACUACCAGGUACUGGACGUUACUCGCAGAAUAAGCACCGGCUAACUCUGUGCCAGCAGCCGCGGUAAUACAGAGGGUGCGAGCGUUAAUCGGAUUUACUGGGCGUAAAGCGUGCGUAGGCGGCUAAUUGAGUCGGAUGUGAAAUCCCCGAGCUUAACUUGGGAAUUGCAUUCGAUACUGGUUAGCUAGAGUGUGGGAGAGGAUGGUAGAAUUCCAGGUGUAGCGGUGAAAUGCGUAGAGAUCUGGAGGAAUACCGAUGGCGAAGGCAGCCAUCUGGCCUAACACUGACGCUGAGGUACGAAAGCAUGGGGAGCAAACAGG